rnacentral:rRNA from 1 species
AUGCACGCUGGCGGCGUGCCUAAUACAUGCAAGUCGAGCGAACAGACGAGGAGCUUGCUCCUCUGACGUUAGCGGCGGACGGGUGAGUAACACGUGGAUAACCUACCUAUAAGACUGGGAUAACUUCGGGAAACCGGAGCUAAUACCGGAUAAUAUAUUGAACCGCAUGGUUCAAUAGUGAAAGACGGUUUUGCUGUCACUUAUAGAUGGAUCCGCGCCGCAUUAGCUAGUUGGUAAGGUAACGGCUUACCAAGGCAACGAUGCGUAGCCGACCUGAGAGGGUGAUCGGCCACACUGGAACUGAGACACGGUCCAGACUCCUACGGGAGGCAGCAGUAGGGAAUCUUCCGCAAUGGGCGAAAGCCUGACGGAGCAACGCCGCGUGAGUGAUGAAGGUCUUCGGAUCGUAAAACUCUGUUAUUAGGGAAGAACAAAUGUGUAAGUAACUAUGCACGUCUUGACGGUACCUAAUCAGAAAGCCACGGCUAACUACGU